AUACGUAGGUGGCGAGCGUUAUCCGGAAUUAUUGGGCGUAAAGAGGGAGCAGGCGGCACUAAGGGUCUGUGGUGAAAGAUCGAAGCUUAACUUCGGUAAGCCAUGGAAACCGUAGAGCUAGAGUGUGUGAGAGGAUCGUGGAAUUCCAUGUGUAGCGGUGAAAUGCGUAGAUAUAUGGAGGAACACCAGUGGCGAAGGCGACGAUCUGGCGCAUAACUGACGCUCAGUCCCGAAAGCGUGGGGAGCAAAUAGGAUUAGAUACCCUAGUAGUCCACGCCGUAAACGAUGAGUACUAAGUGUUGGGAGUCAAAUCUCAGUGCUGCAGUUAACGCAAUAAGUACUCCGCCUGAGUAGUACGUUCGCAAGAAUGAAACUCAAAGGAAUUGACGGGGGCCCGCACAGCGGUGGAGCAUGUGGUUUAAUUCGAAGCAACGCGAAGAACCUUACCAGGUCUUGACAUCGAUCUAAAGGCUCCAGAGAUGGAGAGAUAGCUAUAGAGAAGACAGGUGGUGCAUGGUUGUCGUCAGCUCGUGUCGUGAGAUGUUGGGUUAAGUCCCGCAACGAGCGCAACCCCUGUUGCCAGUUGCCAGCAUUAAGUUGGGGACUCUGGCGAGACUGCCGGUGACAAGCCGGAGGAAGGCGGGGAUGACGUCAAAUCAUCAUGCCCCUUAUGACCUGGGCUACACACGUGCUACAAUGGACAGAGCAGAGGGAAGCGAAGCCGCGAGGUGGAGCGAAACCCAUAAAACUGUUCUCAGUUCGGACUGCAGUCUGCAACUCGACUGCACGAAGAUGGAAUCGCUAGUAAUCGCGAAUCAGCAUGUCACGGUGAAUACGUUCUCGGGCCUUGUACACACCGCCCGUCACACCAUGAGAGUCGGUAACACCCGAAGCCGGUGGCCUAACCGCAAGGAAGGAGCUGUCUAAGGUGGGACUGAUGAUUGGGGUG
rnacentral:rRNA from 1 species